rnacentral:misc_RNA from 1 species
GUAGAUUUUGUCGCAUCUCGAUCUGUAAGGUGUGAAUCCUGGGACUCUUUCUCGACAUACUCGAUAAUUGUGAGAACUAGUAAAAUGUCGCAGUGUUUCAGUAGCCGGAAGUGACUCAAACAGACCAGACUUGACUUCUAAAUCAUGGUGGAAGGCAUACUAGGAGCAGUCCCCUCCAUCUCCAAACUCCGGGGGACCAAUAACGAUGACUGGAUCGACCGCCUCAAUCAUCGCUACACCGUCCUCCUCCUCGUCAUCUUCGCUGUCGUCGUCAGCACGGGCCAGUUCGUGGGAGAACCAAUACAAUGCUGGUGCCCGGCCGAGUUUACGGACGCUUACGAAGCCUACACGACGUACAUCUGCUGGAUCUCCAAUACUUACUACAUACCGAUGGAAGAAACCAUUCCUAUAGACAUCCGCCAGAGACAGGAUGCGGAAAUUACGUACUACCAGUGGGUGCCAAUUAUUCUCUUGUUCCAGGCACUAUUAUUCAAGAUCCCGAACCUUUUCUGGCGAUUUACUCAUAGCGCCUCGGGAGUAAACUUGGACAAGAUCGUGGGGCUUUUCAUCACCAUCAAGAUUCUGUACAUGGCGAAUGUCAUCGGUCAGUUCUUCCUCCUUAAUGCCUUCAUGGCCACCAAGUACAACCUUUACGGGUUCGAGGUGAUCAAGAGUUUGAUCGAAAACGAACCAAUGAUGGAGUCCCCCCGCUUUCCCAGGGUCACCCUUUGUGACUUCCAGAUCCGUCAACUACAGAAUCUUCAGCGAUGGACCGUGCAGUGUGUGCUUCCGGUGAACCUAUUCAACGAAAAAAUCUUCAUUUUCCUUUGGUUCUGGUACUGUUUGAUAGCUUUUCUAACAGCCGUGAACUUGGUCAAGUGGGUUUUCUAUCAACUGUAUCAAAACAACAAAGUGCAAUAUGUCAAAAAGUACUUGAAAACAAGCAAUGAGAUCAAUUCAGGGUUUGACAAGAAGUUGUGCGCUAAAUUCUCCAGGGACUAUUUGAGAAACGACGGAAUCUUUCUCAUGUACGUGAUUUCCAAGAACUCCACAAAUCUGGUUGUGGCCGAUUUAAUCAAAGAACUCUGGAAAAUCUUCAAAAGCAAGCACAAGCCUCAUUCUAAUAACGUGGAAGAUGAGCCGAUGAUGAACAGUGAGAAAGAGCCACUGAGUGGAAGCCAUUUACUGAACAGCUCUGCGUAGACUUUGUGCUAGACUGAAACGCGGACAACGCGCGGUCACGCUCCACGCUUCCACAGUUGACCGGAAGUAAAGCAGUGGUUACAGUUAAUUUAAUCGAGUUGACAAGUCGUCCCUUUUUGGGGACGUGAUUCCAGAAUUUGAACACAACAAAAUAUUUUACAUCUGAGCAGGACAGAACUUGGUAUUUUAGGUGCUAUGUUAUUUCCGGUUGAUGACGUUUCGUCUAUGGCCACUAGAGCAUUAAUCACUUGACCGUCAUUGAAGGGUUAUGUGACUAUGCAACAAACACUUCAUUCAGUUAGUGGAUGACUUUGUACUUAUGUACCGUUAUACUGAGUGUUUUGCGUUUUGGGGUUUUUUUUUGUACUUUUAUAAACAAUUUUUGCCCGAUACGUCAUUUGCUGGCAUUAUCUGAAUGAUGCUGUGAUUAACCAUUUACAUGUAGUUGUACGGGAACGGUGGUGCUACUCAUUCCGUUUGAAGCCAUGAUCAUCUAUUGUUAAUAUGUGAAUUUAUUUUUCGGGUUGUUAUCAAGGAAUGUUGAUGUGUGUUAUUAACAGUUUAACAACGAAUGUGAAACUAAUGGGUUUUUAUUUUUUUUACCCUAACAAAGCAAGUUUUUAUACAAACCUUUUCAUGUUUUGAAUUCCUUCUUCCAUCCCUUUUUAUAUUUUUCAAAAAUGAAUGUUUUUCACUGUUCUUAGACAUCUGACUUGUUUUUGUGUUUCAGGUAAAUUUUACCUUUUUAACAAACCUGUUUAUUUUUGUACAAUUUGUGAGAUAAUUUUGUCAUGCCAUAAAGUCAAAAACUGUU